UACGAAGGGGGCUAGCGUUGUUCGGAAUCACUGGGCGUAAAGGGCGCGUAGGCGGCUUUGUAAGUCGGGGGUGAAAGCCUGUGGCUCAACCACAGAAUUGCCUUCGAUACUGCAUGGCUUGAGGCCGGAAGAGGUAAGUGGAACUGCGAGUGUAGAGGUGAAAUUCGUAGAUAUUCGCAAGAACACCAGUGGCGAAGGCGGCUUACUGGUCCGGUUCUGACGCUGAGGCGCGAAAGCGUGGGGAGCAAACAGG
rnacentral:rRNA from 1 species